AUGGACAAGCGGCAUUCUCUGCUUUACCAGGACGCGGGCAUCAAUAUUUCAUCCUUGCUUCGCCUGCCAGCGUCCGCUCCCUCCUCCCUACUUCUCACCGGCUCUAGGACCCGGAGAGCUGGGCCAUGCUGGCCUGACCCAGGGCGUCAUCACAGAUGUCUACGCUGCCUUCAGCUUGCCUGCCGUGCCAUCGUGGACUCCAGAGUCUGCACAAGAAGCCCUUCUGAGCCUAGGCAGGUGGAUGAAGGAAGCAGCACGGCUGUUCAGGAGCACACAUCCCUCUGGCCAGCCCCCAGCCCGUCUCAUCUUGUCCACUUGAGGUCACAGAGGAAUGCGCUGCGCUCUGCCCGGGGGUUCCUGGCAGAGUGUGGAGCCGGGAUGGAAGCAGUCACUCUCAGGAGGCCUUUGGGCAGACUGUGGUCCUUUCUCAGGCCGGUGGCCAGCUCUGCAUUUCUGGGUUGGGACUGGGGUUGAGGACGCCUGCUGAGACCUAUGCCCUGGGAAAACGUCAGCCUGUGUUGAGAAACUGAUCUUCAGUCACGCAUUUAUUCCAUGUAUGUAUGGAGAACCUACUGUGUGCCAGCCUAUCCACGGUGUUGUGGGAACGGUAAUGGGCAAGUUGGGCGGACAUGUUCGUGUUCUAGUGCUGAGCAUUCACCUUCUGGGUCCCUGGGGGGAUUGUCACUGAUUUCCUUUCUGCCCCCAAGCCCAGAGCUAAGUUUGUGAAUUUUCUGAGUACUAAAACUGCCCCCUUGAUCUCUCUUCGUUAUUCUACUUUUCUUCUCCCUGAAUCUUGUUUCUGGAUCUUUUCAGAUUCAGAAAAGGGACACUCAUCCCAGGUCUGCGUGGCGUCUGGUGGACUGGCCCGGGACACCGGGCAGUGGCUGGCCGGCGCUUCCUCCUGGUCCCUCUUCUGCACCCUGGCUCUCUGGCUCUGGCACCUUCACCUCUAGCUCGGUGACUUUGCUGCCUGCUUCCUUCAGUCCCUUCUGGACCUGCCUUCUCACUGGCAUGGCUGAAGAUGGGGCCCCACUACUCUUUCGCUUUGAUGAAAUAAAUCAUUUAUAUGUUAAAUCUUACUGUACACAUUC
rnacentral:lncRNA from 1 species